rnacentral:rRNA from 1 species
GAGUUUGAUCGUGGCUCAGAACGAACGCUGGCGGCAGGCUUAACACAUGCAAGUCGAACGCCCCGCAAGGGGAGUGGCGCACGGGUGAAAAACACGUGGGGAUCUGCCCUUCUGUUCGGAACAACAUCGGGAAACUGAUGCUAAUACCGGAUACACCGCUCGGUUAUGGUGACCGAUCGGGAAAGAUUUAUCGCAGAAGGAUGAACCCGCGUCUGAUUAGCUAGUUGGUGAGGUAAUGGCUCACCAAGGCGACGAUCAGUAGCUGGUCUGAGAGGACGAUCAGCCACACUGGAACUGAGACACGGUCCAGACUCCUACGGGAGGCAGCAGUGGGGAAUAUUGGACAAUGGGGGAAACCCUGAUCCAGCCAUGCCGCGUGAGUGAUGAAGGCCUUC